CUCUUGGUUCUGGCAUCGAUGAAGAACGCNGCGCAUAUAUGCGAUAAGUAACUGCUGCUAAUUGCUACGACAUUUCCGUGAGAUCAUCGAAUCUUUGUAGACGACACAUUGCGCCCUUUGGCAUUCCGAAGUGGCAUGCCUGUUCGAGCGUCAGUCUAUCGCCCUCAUAACAUCUAGUUUAUGUUGGGUUAAAUUUGCUUCAAAUUGACCUCNNAGAUAAUGACAGCGUCUGACGACCGUAGAUGCAACGAGCUCUCUCUCUGCACGCAUCGAACGUCGUGGGAACCUGUCGUACCUAUCAUUUUUUUUUCUAGG
rnacentral:rRNA from 1 species